rnacentral:misc_RNA from 1 species
AUGGGUGGAUACCACCGAGGAGGAAUGAGAUCAGGGUCCCAACAAACGAAGUAGACAUCUCCGUCGAGAUCACUCCCCGAGCAUUCAUUUGUAUGAGGUCUUUUUCCUUUUUGUGGAAAAACAAUGCAAUCCACCAUGUGGUGUAAAGCAGGCACAUCCACAGCCUUCAAGACACCAACAUCUCCAGGAUGUAGACAUGG